rnacentral:rRNA from 1 species
AAAGCAGGGGAUCGCAAGACCUUGCGCUUUUGGAGUGGCCGAUGCCUGAUUAGCUAGUUGGUGGGGUAAUGGCCUACCAAGGCGACGAUCAGUAGUUGGUCUGAGAGGACGACCAGCCACACUGGGACUGAGACACGGCCCAGACUCCUACGGGAGGCAGCAGUGGGGAAUUUUGGACAAUGGGCGAAAGCCUGAUCCAGCAAUGCCGCGUGAGUGAAGAAGGCCUUCGGGUUGUAAAGCUCUUUCAGUCGAGAAGAAAAGGUUGUGACUAAUAAUCACAACUCAUGACGGUAUCGACAGAAGAAGCACCGGCUAACUACGUGCCAGCAGCCGCGGUAAUACGUAGGGUGCGAGCGUUAAUCGGAAUUACUGGGCGUAAAGGGUGCGCAGGCGGCUUUGUAAGUCAGAUGUGAAAUCCCCGGGCUUAACCUGGGAAUUGCGUUUGAAACUACAAAGCUAGA